rnacentral:rRNA from 1 species
GAUAAUUUGCCCUUUGGUUAGGGAUACUGUCGCGAAAGUGACGUUAAUACCUGAUAGGAGAUUGAUAUUGGAACAUACUUUCUCUGAAACGUAAGGCCAAAGGAUAAGUCAGCGGCUGAUUAGGUUGAUGGCGAGGUAAAGGCUCACCAUGCCUAUGAUCAGUAGGGGGGAUGAGAGUCCUAGCCCCGAGAAGGGCACUGAGACACUGGCCCUAGCCCUAAGGGGUGCAGCAGCUGCGAAACCUUUACAAUGCACGAAAGUGUGAUAAGGGGAUCUCAAGUGCUUUACUAAGGUAAAGCUUUUGUCGAGUGAAAAAAGCUCGGCGAAUAAGUGAUGGGCAAGACCGGUGCCAGCCGCCGCGGUAACCCCGGCGUCACAAGUGGCGACCACAGUUAUUGGGUCUAAAGGGUCCGUAGCCGGUUUUGUAAAUCUCUUGUGAAACUGUUGGGCUUAACCUAACAACGAGCAAGAGAAACUGCAGAACUUGGAACCGGGAGGGGGCAGAAGUAUUCCAGGGGGAACGGUAAAAUGUGUUAAUCCCUGGAGGACUACCUGUGGCGAAGGCGUCUGCCUAGAACGGAUUCGACGGUGAUGGACGAAGGCUAGGGGAGCAAAAAGGAUUAGAUACCCUAGUAGUCCUAGCAGUAAACGCUGCGAGCUAUGUGUUGCAUGUUCUUAGUGGACAUGCAGUGCCUGAGUGAAGACGUUAAGCUCGCCACCUGGGAAGUACGGUCGCAAGAUUGAAACUUAAAGGGAUUGGCGGGGGCUCACUACAAGGGGUGCGGCGUGCGGUUUAAUUGGAUUCUACGCCGGAAAUCUCACCAGGGGCGACGGCAGAAUGAAGGUCAGAUUAACGGUCUUACCUAACAAGCCGAGAGGAGGUGCAUGGCCGUCGUCAGUUCGUGCUGUGAAGUGUCCUGUUAAGUCAGGUAACGAACACGACCCACAUCUAUAUUUGCCACCAUCUCAGCGAUGAGGAAUGGGCACAAUAUAGGGACUGCCUUGGAAACGAGGAGGAAGGUGUGGGCAACGAUAGGUCAGUAUGCCCCGAAUCUCCUGGGCUACACGCGCGCAACAAUGGUGGAGACAAUGGGAUGCGACUCUGAAAAGAAAAGCCAACCCUCUAAACUCCAUCUUAGUUCGGAUUGAGGAUUGCAACUCAUCCUCAUGACGCCGGAAUCCCUAGUAAUCGGAAUUCAACACGUUCCGGUGAAUAUGUCCCUGAGCCUUGCACACACCGCCCAUCAAAACCAACCGAGCAGGGUCUAGGUGAGGUUUAGUUUUUUGACUAAUUCGAACCUGGGUUCAGUAAGGUGGGUUAAGUUGUCUCAAGGUA